rnacentral:rRNA from 1 species
UACUCGAGUGGCGAACGGGUGAGUAACACGUGGGUGAUCUGCCCUGCACUUCGGGAUAAGCUUGGGAAACUGGGUCUAAUACCGGAUAGGAGCCAUCUUUAGUGUGGUGGUUGGAAAGUUUUUUCGGUGUAGGAUGAGCUCGCGGCCUAUCAGUUUGUUGGUGGGGUAAUGGCCUACCAAGGCGGCGACGGGUAGCCGGCCUGAGAGGGUGUACGGCCACAUUGGGACUGAGAUACGGCCCAG